rnacentral:snRNA from 1 species
AGCUUUGCGCAGUGGCAGUAUCGUAGCCAAUGAGGUUUAUCCGAGGCGCGAUUAUUGCUAAUAGCAUAGCGUGUGGCACUUGGUACAAGCUAAGGGGGACCAGAGUUCGCUGUCCACUAGCAGAGUUUCCACCACAUUUCCCAUAAUGCCCCUGAGCCUAUGGGACAUUUAGGGAGCCUUCCCAAGG